rnacentral:rRNA from 1 species
CCUGACGACCAUAGCAGGUGGGAACCACCCGAUCCCAUGCCGAACUCGGAAGUGAAACCACCCCGCGCCGAUGGUAGUGUGGAGCUUCUCCAUGCGAGAGUAGGUCAUCGUCAGGC